UUUUUUUUUUUUUUUUUUUUUUUUCUUGAGACAAGGUCUGGCCCUGUCACCCAGGCUGGACAGAAUCAUGGCUCAUUGCAUCCUCAGCCCCGCGGGCUUAACUGAUCCUCCCACCUCAACUUCCCAAGUAGCUGGGACCACAGGCAUGUGCCACCAUGCCUAAUUUUUAAAUUUUUUGCAGAGACAAGGUCUCACUACGUUGCCAAGGCUGGUCUCGAACUCCUGGGCUCAAGUGAUCUUCCCACCUUGGCCUCCCAAAGUGCUGGGAUUACAGAUGUGAGCUACCAUGCCAGUCCCUGGUUUUUAAGCACUUCUCAUGCUCUUUCAUGUCUGAUCUUCUCAAACUUGGUUCUAUGGUUAUCAUUAUUUUACACACAAAACUAAAGCUCAGAAAAGUUAGGCAACUUGUCUGAUAUCUGUCUCUGGUAAGAGGCAGAGCAAGGAUUGGGAUCUAGGCCUUGUUACUCAGAACACAGGGCAGGGUGGCUGGAGUUUCCUUCACAUCCCCAGCCUGUGUCAUGAUGGAUUUGCUUUCCUGGUUUUGAACAUCACACACGUGGAAUUUUCCGUACAUUCUGGAGUGACUUCAUUGUGCGCUUCAUCCACAUUGUUGCGGGUUGUGGUUGUGUGCCCUUUUCCAUUGUUGCACAAAAUCUCCUCUCUGUGAACAUGCCACACUUACUUUUUAAAAUCUUUUCUCCUAUGGAUGGACAUCUGGGUCAUUUCCAGUUUGGGGCCAUCAGGAGGAAAGCUGCUGUGGGUAGUUUUGUUAAUGUCUUCUGGUACACAUAAGCUCUCAUUUCUCUUGGGUGAGGUGAGGAAUUAGUCAGUCAUGGGAUAUUCGUAUGUUUAGGUUUUGUAAAUACUGCCAGUUUGCCAAUGUGGUUGUAUCAAUUUUAUGAGCAAUGUAUGAAGGUUCCAGCUGCGACAUCCUUGACAAACUAGGUAUCGUCAGUCCUUUUAAUUUUAGCCAUUCUUGGGUGGGUGAGAGCAGUGAAGAGCCAUUCUUGACAUGGAAUGACAAGACCUAGUGUGCCAGAGGUGAAGGCCUGAGCGUCCAGGGGAGCAUGAGCCUGUCUUCUAUGCCCUGCUGUGCUACAGCAAUGUUUCACUGUGCUCAGGAGGAAAACAGAGACAGCAGAGAAGCCGAGUGCUCCAAAGUGGGCAGAAAUGAGACAGGCAUAAAUAAAGUGCUAGGCUAAUAGUUGUUUUUUAAAAAACAAAACAAACAAACAAAAACACUAUUUCUCUAAAAGUCACGAUUCGAGCCCCACCUGAGGACGCAACGAUCCGGCGCCAACUCCUUUAUGUAUAAAUGAGUGACUUUACCAGAAGCGCCUAUGCAAGACGCAGGGCCCCGCGCAGGCUGCUCCCACCUCUUUCUCUCCUUGCAGGGUACCGAGACCCUGGCUGGUGCAGCCGGCGGCCCCUCCGGCCCAUCCGUCGGAAAUGGUGAGUGGCUCCAGGGGCCGGGGUCUGCAGAACCUACCCCAGCGGGAAUAGCAGCCCUACACAGUCGCGCUUAGACCCGCUGACCCCGCGUCUCUG
ensembl:lncRNA